rnacentral:rRNA from 1 species
UACGUAGGGGGCGAGCGUUGUCCGGAUUCAUUGGGCGUAAAGAGCUCGUAGGCGGCUUGGCAAGUCGGGUGUGAAAUCCUGGAGCUCAACUCCAGAACUGCCUUUGAUACUGGCGAUCUUGAGUUCGGGAGAGGUGAGUGGAACUGCGAGUGUAGAGGUGAAAUUCGUAGAUAUUCGCAAGAACACCAGUGGCGAAGGCGGCUCACUGGCUCGGUACUGACGCUGAGGUGCGAAAGCGUGGGGAGCAAACAGGG